GACUUUAUUUUUCCACAUUACUAAAACUAUUUGUAUUUAUUACACAGUAUCAACGUUAGCUGAAUUCUAAGAUCCAAAGUUUUUUUUUCUUUUCCAGAAAAAUAAUUGAAUCCCAUUCCCACUAUUUUUUGGUGUGCUGCAAAGGACAUUUAUCAUCUUAUAAAGCUAAGCCAAGGGUGGAAAUGUGAUAUAUAUAUUCAAAGCAUGUUUAUUAUGCUUUUCCAUCCUGCCAACCCCAACAAGCAUACCUAGAGGGGAUUAUACAGAUCAGUAUUUUAAAAAGCCCUUAUUCUCAGUCAUGCAGUGCAAAAACAAUGGCUAAAAAGCAGAAAUUGAUUAAAAUAGAAAGACAAGGGCACCAGUACCUAAUUGCAAAAUUCUUCUACCUUUUCUUUAUCAUAGGGAGGUGCAAGCAACUGCUUCAUCCGUGACACAUGGACAGCACGAGAUGAUUGAAUUCCUUGUUGCUUCGAUUUUUAUCUUGGAAAGCUAUAGAUGCAUGCAAUAAUUGAUCUUUUGGAAGCUGGCAGAAGUCAGAGAAUGUUACCCUCCAGAUCAGAGGGGCGACUCCUCUUCUUCAUCCGUGUUGACCACUGGCAGCUGCUCUCGCUCCCUGCCUGGAGCCUCCAGGCUAAUUUGUUGCAGCUGUCAUUCUCUCGGCUCAGACUCAGCUGGCUGCCCUCUGGUUGUUCCAGCUGUAGUUGCUCCAUCAAGCUGGAGUGAGCUGGAGUCUGCUGCUCUGUGAUCUGCAUUUCCAACAGCCCCAGAGCUCACUGCCCUGUCUUCUCUGGAGGUGCCAGGGACUGGCUCAUUCUCCUCUUCCAAACUAGCAUCUGGAGAGGCGACCAGAGAUUCUUGCUGGCAAAACUCUGUAUAACGUCCAAUAUCAGCAUUCUCUUGGUUCCAGUGGCUAAAUUGCAGUUCCGUCUUGACCUCACCUCACAACAAAGCAAUUGACUCAGCUCUGACAACAAAUAAUAAAAUACCUUACUUUCUUCGAUUUGGACAACUUGCAGAUUCCAUUGAGAGCAAACAGUGAAGAAUGCUAGCUAGGUAGAGGACGGGGAGAAGAGAUUAAAAAUGUGCUGCUAGAUGAUAAAGAUUCCAUCAUGUACAACAGAUGCCACCAAGCAGAGGUGGAAGUAAUUUUCUGCUGCACAAUACAAAACCAGGCCUGGGAGAAAAUACAAAGUAUUCUAGUCAUUCUCAUUAUGAUGCUUCACCUAUGCUUGCACAGGAACAAAUGAUGAGGAACUAGCAGUGGAUAGCAGAAAUAGAAAUAAGAAAGAUCAACCCACACAUGGAAGCCAAGUAGAUAAACAACCAGAUAUUCAUGCUUCCAAACUCCAUUUUCACAUGCGCUACUCCCUGCUCAACCUCUGUAUACAUUCCAUGUGAACAGUAUCAUUUCUGAACAUAGAUCAAAUGAUUAGUCACAAAUAAUUAAUGGGACUAAAUGAUUAAUGGUACUAAACACACAGCCAUGGAGAGAAUUGCUCAUAGUUUUCACAACAAAACUAUCCCUGUCAACUUGCAUGAAACAAGCACAACAAAACUGCACCCCAAGUUCAUCUCUGCUUUACUUUUCUAAAAAGAAUUGUAUCCUAGAAUACUUGGCCAGCCCUACAAUGCAUUCAUGCCCACAUGGGCUAUAAUACAUCUCCCUCAACACUACCAUUCCUGUUCAAUUCCUGAUGGCUUCAGUUCAGGAUUCCUUCAUGAUGUCCAAGCGUCUUUCUUUCUUUUCAGGUAUACCUGCUGCUCCAGAGGCUACCAUUUGUUCUUUGAUAUUCAGCUUUCCAUUAUUGGAAAGAGGGCUGUGAAAAUAUUUACAGACUCUUUGCAUCCUGGACAUAAAUUAUUUCAACUCCUAGCCUCAAAACGAUGCUAUAGAGCACUGUACACCAAGACAACUAGACUCAAGAAUAGUUUUUUCCCGAACACCAUCACUCUACUAAACAAAUAAUUCCCUCAAAAAACUAUUCACAUUAGGCUGCUAUUGGUCUUCUCAUUGUUCCUGUUGCCCAUCUCCUCCCACUUGUGACUGCAUGACUGUAACUUUGUUGCUUGUAUCCUUGUGAUUUAUAUUGAUAUUGAUUGUUUCCUAGUAUGAUUUGAUUGCUUAUUGUACCAUAUGACUGUCACUGGGUGUUGUGCCCUGUGAUUCUUGAUGUGUGUAUCUUCUUUUUAUGUAUACUGAGAGCAUAUUCACCAAAGACAAAUUCCUCGUGUGUCCAAUCACACUUGGCCAAUAAAGAAUUCUGUUCUAUUCUUCUAUUCUUAUUGAAGAAAA